GCCGAGGUGGCGGAAUGGCAGACGCGGCGGUCUCAAAAACCGCUGUCCUAACCGGACGUGAGGGUUCGACUCCCUCCCUCGGCA
rnacentral:tRNA from 2 species